rnacentral:rRNA from 1 species
AUGGCUUGGCUGCGGCUGCUCGCCACCAUCCUAGCGCUGCUCGCCACUGCCGGGGUCGCGCACAGCUUCGAGUUCCAUGAGGACACCGUGGACGCCAUCCAGCUCGGCUUCCGCAACGGCAGCCUCACCUCGGCCGCCCUCGUCCGGUUCUACCUCGACCAGAUCCGCCGCCUCAAGCCGCUGCUGCACGCCGUCAUCGAGGUCAACCCGGACGCGCUCCGGCAGGCCAAGCGUGCCGACGCCGAGCGCCGUCGCGGCACAGCCACCGGCCCGUUGCAUGGGGUGCCCGUCCUGCUCAAGGACAACAUCGCCACCCGCGACGCUCUCAACACCACGGCCGGCUCGCUGGCGCUCCUCGGCUCCGUGGUGAAGCGCGACGCCGGCGUGGCGGCCAGGCUGCGGCGCGCUGGCGCUGUGGUGCUCGGCAAGGCCAGCCUCUCCGAGUGGGCCAACUUCCGCAACGUCCGCAAUGGGUGGAGUGCGCGCGGCGGGCAGACGCGCAACCCAUAUGUAUUGUCGUCCGACCCGUGCGGGUCGAGCUCUGGGUCAGGUGUGGCCGCGGCGGCGAACAUGGCGGCCGUGACGCUCGGCACCGAGACCGACGGCUCCAUACUCUGCCCGUCGUCGUUCAACUCCGUGGUCGGCAUCAAGCCCACCCUCGGGCUCACUAGCCGCGCCGGCGUCGUCCCCAUCACCACUAGACAGGACAGCGUUGGACCGAUGUGUCGGACAGUGUCGGAUGCAGUCCAUGUGCUGGAUGCCAUCGUCGGCUACGACAAGCUCGAUGCCGCGGCCACUCGAGCAGCAUCCAAGUACAUACCUUACGGCGGAUAUCUGCAGUUCCUGAAGAAGGAUGGGCUGAGAGGGAAGAGGAUUGGCGUCCCCAAUGUAUUAUUUCAACAAGGACUUGGAGAGAAGCAGAUGAGGGUGUACGAACAGCAGCUUGGCAGAAUGAGGUUAUUAUCAUACUUCAAAUCUCCCUGA